rnacentral:rRNA from 1 species
GAUGAACGCUAGCGGCAGGCUUAACACAUGCAAGUCGAGGGGCAGCGUAAUGAAGUAGCAAUACGGAUUUGACGGCGACCGGCGCACGGGUGCGUAACGCGUAUGUAACCUACCUUUAACAGGGGGAUAACACUGAGAAAUUGGUACUAAUACCCCAUAAUACCUUACAGGGCAUCCUGUUAGGUUGAAAGUUCCGGCGGUUAAAGAUGGACAUGCGUUGUAUUAGCUAGAUGGUGAGGUAACGGCUCACCAUGGCGACGAUACAUAGGGGGACUGAGAGGUUAACCCCCCANACUGGUACUGAGACACGGACCAGACUCCUACGGGAGGCAGCAGUGAGGAAUAUUGGUCAAUGGACGCAAGUCUGAACCAGCCAUGCCGCGUGCAGGAAGACGGCUCGUAUGAGUUGUAAACUGCUUUG